AAAUGUAAUAAGUACAUCUUGUGCUUCAUUAUAAACCCAUCUGUGUAUCUUACCUGUUGCUUCCGUGGGGAGUGGCCUCGGUCACUGCUGACCCCACGGGAGGUAUACAUGAAACCAUUGCAUUGCCAUGAUCUCAGUCUGAAAUGUUAACGAUAAAAGUUA
rnacentral:misc_RNA from 1 species